CAGUCGCCGCGGUAAUACGAAGGGUGCAAGCGUUACUCGGAAUUACUGGGCGUAAAGCGUGCGUAGGUGGUGGUUUAAGUCCGUUGUGAAAGCCCUGGGCUCAACCUGGGAAUUGCAGUGGAUACUGGAUCACUAGAGUGUGGUAGAGGAUAGUGGAAUUUCCGGUGUAGCAGUGAAAUGCGUAGAGAUCGGAAGGAACAUCUGUGGCGAAGGCGACUAUCUGGGCCAACACUGACACUGAGGCACGAAAGCGUGGGGAGCAAACAGGAUUAGAUACCCCUGUAGUCCCUGUCUCUUAUAC
rnacentral:rRNA from 1 species